GUCUUUCUGGGGGACGCCUUCGCAAGAAAGACCUAGCUUGCCUUCUCGGCACUCGUGGGCAAACAGGCCUGGUGGGUACUUGCCAUAGAGGUUGAUGUAGCUGAACAUUGUGGAUGCACAGUCAUUGCUUUCAUCAUUGAUUUUUGGAACUCGAAGUUCACAGGACAAUCUGAAAAGCACAAGUAUGAGCUAAGAGAAAUAUAA
rnacentral:rRNA from 1 species